rnacentral:rRNA from 1 species
UACGGGGGGGGCAAGCGUUGUUCGGAAUUACUGGGCGUAAAGGGCUCGUAGGCGGCCAACUAAGUCCGACGUGAAAUCCCCAGGCUUAACCUGGGAACUGCGUCGGAUACUGGAUGGCUUGAAUUCGGGAGAGGGAUGCAGAAUUCCAGGUGUAGCGGUGAAAUGCGUAGAUAUCUGGAGGAAUACCGGUGGCGAAGGCGGCAUCCUGGACCGACAUUGACGCUGAUUGUGCGAAAGCUAGGGGAGCGAACGGG